GACGAACCGUGCGAACGUUGUUCGGAUUCACUGGGCUUAAAGGGCGCGUAGGCGGGCGUACGAGUCGGGGGUGAAAUCUUUCGGCCCAACCGGAAAAGGGCCCCCGAUACCGGACGCCUGGAGGGAGGUAGGGGCGUGUGGAACUUCCGGUGGAGCGGUGAAAUGCGUAGAUAUCGGAAGGAACGCCGGUGGCGAAAGCGACGCGCUGGACCUCUUCUGACGCUGAGGCGCGAAAGCCAGGGGAG
rnacentral:rRNA from 1 species